AUUGAACGCUAGCGGGAUGCCUUACACAUGCAAGUCGAACGGAGUGGCGAACGGGUGAGUAAUGUAUCGGAACGUGCCCAGUAGCGGGGGAUAACUACGCGAAAGCGUAGCUAAUACCGAAUACGAUUGGAGCGGCCGAUAUCGGACUAGCUAGUUGGUGGGGUAACGGCGCACCAGGGCGACGAUCCGUAGCUGGUUUGAGAGGACGACCAGCCAAACUGGAACUGAGACACGGCCCAGACUCUUACGGGAGGCAGCAGUGGGGAAUUUUCGACAAUGAGGGAAACCCUGAGCCAGCCAUCCCGCGUGGGCGAUGAGGGCCUUGGGUUUGUAAGGCACUUUUAGCAGGAAAGCGGUACCUGCAUAGAAAGCACCGGCUAACUACGUGCCAGCAGCCGCGGUAAUAC
rnacentral:rRNA from 1 species